rnacentral:rRNA from 1 species
AUUGAACGCUGGCGGCAUGCCUUACACAUGCAAGUCGAACGGCAGCACGGGUGCUUGCACCUGGUGGCGAGUGGCGAACGGGUGAGUAAUACAUCGGAACGUACCUUAUCGUGGGGGAUAACGCAGCGAAAGCUGUUCUAAUACCGCAUACGCCCUGAGGGGGAAAGCGGGGGAGCGAAAGACCUCGCGCGAUUAGAGCGGCCGAUGCCUGAUUAGCUUGUUGGUGGGGUAAAAGCCCACCAAGGCGACGAUCAGUAGCUGGUCUGAGAGGACGAUCAACCACACUGGGACUGAGACACGGCCCAGACUCCUACGGGAGGCAGCAGUGGGGAAUUUUGGACAAUGGGGGCAACCCUGAUCCAGCAAUGCCGCGUGAGUGAAGAAGGCCUUCGGGUUGUAAAGCUCUUUUGUCAGGGAAGAAACACCGGCUCUAACACAGUCCGGGAAUGACGGUACCUGAAGAAUAAGCACCGGCUAACUACGUGCCAGCCGCCGCAGUAA